rnacentral:piRNA from 1 species
UGCAAGCCUGUGAGGUAUUAGCUAAGUUA